GGAGCUGCGUCCUCCCUCUCUCACCUGAGGUGCUGCUGGUCCUCAGAUCAGAGACGGGGUUUCUUAGACAACACCAUGGUUCCUGGAAUGCCAGGUUAAAAGCACAAAAACCCAGAGGCUCAUGGCUGCUCACGCACACUCUGCUCUUGCCAGCUCGUGAGAUGCAGGGGCACGUGUGCGUCCUCAGGCUCACACACCUGCUCGCUCGCACGCUCACACCACAGACGCACAAUGCCAGAGAACAGAAUCCGGGGGCUUUAGCAGCUCUGAGCCGGGAGGCCCAGGCAUUCCUCACGGGCCUUCACUUCUUUCGUCCUGUUUGAACUUUGUGAUAAAAAGAUAUUUUCAUACUAUUUGUCUAGCUCCCGCCUGAGAACUUGUGUUAGAUAGCAAAUCCGCCAACCCUUUGCUAAGACACCUUCUCAGAGAUUGAGCCUUCCUAACCGACAUUGUAUAGUGCUUUGUAAUGCUUCACUCCCCCACGGGGCAAAGACCCUGACAUUUGGGGCUCACUGUGAAGACGAGGAUGAAAUGAAUUCUCAGCUCUCUGAGCCACAUUCUUUGCCCACAGGGUUAGCAUCCAUCACAGAGCAUAUGGCUUGAAGACACUCACUCUUCAGUCCUCCAGAAAUUCCCAGACAUGCAACAAGGAAAACAGAGCCCAGAAACUGGACCGGUAACAGGAAGGGUCUAGGGACCAGUGGCCUUGCUGGUCCCAUUAAUACUGAAACUUUCCUUCUUUAUGUAAAUUCAUGGAAUACUUAGUAUUUGUGUGGAGCCUUUCCCUGCUGUUCCCUAAGGCUCACAGGACAGUGUGUCCAAGCCGGAGGCACAGUCCCUGGCAGGGCCUAGACAUGAACCUGCUCUGACUCUCAAGAGUAUAACGCAGCAGUUCCAUAAGCCAUUCAUCCCUCUUUCUCUUUUCUCUGCCCUUUUUACUUUGGAAUGAACUGUGACAAGGUGCAGGAGAGCCUGUUCUAGAACCUUGGCUAUCCAUAAGCCAGAAAACAUAGACAGACAGACAGACAGACAGCUGAUUCAAAGCCAUGCUCUGGGCAGGGUACAAAGCAGCAGCGUAUGGUGUGGCCCAGGUAUCUAGAGUGUAACUGGCCCGUGAACUGGCACCUCAAUAGUGAGAACUUUUAAAACACUCUGUUGGCCAAAAGAAAGAGCUAUGUAUAGGCUGUCUCUGCCCAUCGUGGCCCUGUCAAAGCCUCCAUCCCUCUUCUCACUCUUUCAUGACCCUUGGAGAAGAUGUCAGGGAAGCAAGAGGUGUGUGAGCUGCUUGGACUUUGGAGGUGGCAGUGGGUGAAACAACGGAUGUCUUGGGUAUGGAGGGAGCUGUUGGUUUUCCAUGUAUAGAGCCCCAGAUGUGUCCACUGAGCAUCGAAGGGUGAAAUCCCUUUAUGAGGAGUCCGGCUCUAGAGUGGCCGCCCUGCCUUUGGCAGCCUUAGCUCUUUGUAGAUGACAUUUCAGCUAGAAUUUAACUCCACGCCAUGGGGAGCAAAUCUUAAAAACAAACCAAGCACUUCCAAACAAAUACUAGGAGCAAGUGACGUCUGACACACAGUCUCUCGGGAGUCCCCUGUGCAGGCCAGCCUAGGGUAGGCCGACCCCAUAGGUCUCCAAGUUAGACCAGCUCCAUGGUGGGCCUGGCCUUGUCACCGUCUGGAGUCUGCCUCUGAUGGUUUCCAGGCACACACUGGUGCACCUGGGUAAAUUUAUUCCUUCAGUGCUUUAGCCUCCAAGAGGGCCAAGGCACGUGCAUUUCUUAAAAGGAAACAAAAUACAUGACUGGAGACUUGGACAGUCAGGCCAUGACUCCCGCCUGCAGUCUGCCCUACCUCCCAGUGGCCCCUUGGCCCUUGUUGUCCCUGGACCUCAAGAUCCCAUUUUGCAUAUUCAUGAGGGAGCCACAGAAUAGAUCCACACUUCCCUGCUGUCAGCUCAGGCUGUUCCUGCAGUGGUACUGUGUCCCCAAGGACCAGCUGCAGAGCACAUAGUGAGUCCCUUGCACAGGGGCUUUCCUGACACAUCUCCAUCAGCUGCAUGCUGGGAGCAGACACUCAUCCUUCUCUCUGUCUUUGGUAAUUCCUCAGCACCACGGCCAGGUUCCUGGAUACUUCCAGGACCAAGAGAACUUAUAUCUGAUCACUGCCAUUCACGGGUUUCAGUCCUUAGGAACCCUAAGGUUCCUCUUAGUACAUCAGAUGACAUCAGUUGAACACAGCCACCUGGUGAUACCUCUAGAGCUUUCUGCCCACACCUUAGACUCCUGGGCAGCACCGAGCUGCUGUUUUUGUUCUCACUGUGCGAAUGCCCUGGCAUCUUGGUGGCAUCUUGAUGGAUCCAGCUCAGUCAGGACAGCUUUGAGCACAGAGCAUAGAGGAAGCCAGCAUGAAGGUUGGGGACUUAGCAGCUCUGUGCCUCUCACUGACUCUGAGGCCUGACUUCAGGAGACCAGCCUGUAGUCUCACCUGCUCCACCUGGGUUCACUCACCCGCUAAGGCUGCCGUACAUGGGAAUUUAGUCCCCCCAAACCACCAUGCAGAUGCCACACCCCUCGUCUUCUCCAAAAGCACCACUAAGAACAUGAUAGGUGUUUGAUUUAUAGACGGUGCGUUUCCCUUCGAGUGGAACAGAAAGGAACCCAUUUAAUGACCCCCCCUCGUUUGCAAGCACGAAUACAUUUUAAUGAAACUGUUUUAUUGUAUUUGAGGAAAUGGAGAGUUGAACAUUCCAACCAAUCAAUAGCCAAAAAAUGCUAUAAAC
rnacentral:lncRNA from 1 species